GGAAGAGCAGAAACACAAAGAGGGAAACGUACAAGAAGAAUCGCACCUUUAUUCAAAUGUCAAUGAACUCCAUCAAAUCCAAGAUACAGAGGAAGAUAUUCAUUAUGAGUCCAUCUCCUUCCGGAAGAAUGCACCAGGACACAGACAAAGUCUGCAAUCUGCUAACCAAACUUCAAAAACUAACCUGGUCUCUUCAAAGGAAGAUCAUUCAUCUGUCAUCUAUGCGCAGAUAGCACGAACAAAUAUUUGAAUAACCUCCCAAGAAAAGAAGAUGGAGUUGGAUGCAGGGAAUGAAACAAAUUCGUGAACUGUUGUUUGGCCUACAUAUUUUGUACUCGCUCUGAAUUAACAUAUGUAACUUUUGAAUAAUAGCUUGGAAGUAGAAACUCUUAAUAUAGUUCUAUUAUUUCUUCUUUGCUUCUGCAGAUGCUACGUAAAAUGGAAGCAGAUAUGUAUAUUGUGCAAAUAAAAUUGACCAGUUUAGGUAACUUUGCUAAAGAAUUCAACUAGCAUCUGAGAAUUGCAAUAUGUAUCUGGUUGAUAUAAAGCAUGGAAUCCACCUUAAAUGAGGGAGCUCUUGAACUGUUUCAUUUGCUUCCUUUUAUGCAUCUUGCAUAGAUAAUUGGAAAUAUCUUAAGUUGCUGAAAGAGUAAAAAAAAAUCACCAUAUAAUCGACAUAAUAUUUAAAGAUAUGCCUUCAGGAAUCAGGCUGCUGACCGUGUUUGAUAUUGAUAACCUCUGAAAACCCUUGCACAUUAGAUCAUGAGACACCAUGCAAAUUCUUCUUGCUAUAUUAUGUUCAAACAAUAAAAUUUCAUCAUAAGACCUUAAGAUAUUGGAGCAAAUGGCCAUUUGGUCCAUAAUAUCCUCUCUGCUGUUUAAUCAUAGCUAAUUUAUUAUCCCUCUCAACCCCAUUCACCUGUCUUUUCUCUGUAACCUUUGACACCGUUACUAAUCAAAAACCUAUCAACCUUUGCUUUAAGUAGCCUCUUCUUCAGAUCUAUCCUUAGAAUUUGCUCAAAUGGUGAGUUUCCAGCGUUUCCUUCUAAUUUAAUGAGAGAAAACAGCAUUUGAUUGAAGAAUGAUUCAUCCUUCAUUAUUAUACCACUUCCAAAAUUUUUUUGUGAAAAUUGGAUUUAAAAGGAUGGAGAAAUCAUAAUCCCAUUAUUCUAAUACAGCUGCCUUUUAAUUUGCAGGCCUUGACAAAUUUACAAGGUCCAGGAUAGCCAAUUGUUUAAAAUGAUCCUGACUUCAAGUAUAUUGAAGCUAGUUGGGCUCAACUCUCACUGCAAGAGUUAAAUUUUGAAUAACUACUUUCUAAUUUCUUAUAUAAAAUAGUACCAGAAUAACUAUCCAAACUAUAUACAAUGUAGGAAUGGGACAGGACAUUUUAGCUAGUCUAUUUAACUAGGACUCUCUUAUUUUCCAAAAGUACUGUUUAUUACUCCUCCUAGGCAUUCAUUAUGCAUUAGAAUCAAAGGGCAAGCAUUAGUUAUUUCCAGGGACUAAACCUAAUAGCCAAGUAUACUGAAUUGCAGGAUGGGGCUCAAAUUGCUGAUUUUAGUUGAUAUCCAGAUCCAAAGAUUCAAAAAAAGACUAAGAACUCAAAUUUUGUACUUAAUAAAUCAAGUAUCAGAAAUUUUCAUGAAAUCCAGAUUUUCCUUUUAAUGUAGAAUAAUAAUUCUGGGUUGAGUUGUGAACUGCAAAUAUCUAUAACUUGCACAAGUGGACACAGUCUGCUUUCUUUUUGCUAAUGACAAUAAAAUGUUAUUUUUUUGAAGUUCUUGAAUGACUUUC